UACAGAGACUGCAAGCGUUAUUCGGAUUCACUGGGCGUAAAGGGUGCGCAGGCGGUUGAAUGUGUGGAACGUGAAAGCUUGGGGCUUAACCUCAGAACGGCGAUCUAAACUAUUCAACUAGAGCAUUGAAGAGAGUAGCAGAAUUCACGGUGUAGCAGUGAAAUGCGUAGAUAUCGUGAGGAAUACCAGAGGCGAAGGCGGCUACUUGGACAAUGGCUGACGCUCAGGCACGAAAGCGUGGGGAGCAAAAGGG
rnacentral:rRNA from 1 species